GGGGAGCUCUUGCAAAGGCUCUAUUUUACACGGGAAGAGGAAACAGUGCAGAGGUUGUGACCAUCUUAACUGAAGAGCCAGCUGACGCAGCAGGAGAGGGAGAUGGCCGAGGCCCACAGAGUGUGGAGAGAGAAGCUGGAGCAGGCAGAGAAACACAAACGUGAGGAAACCAAAGAAUUACAGGUCAGCUUAUAACCUAACUAAAAGCGACCGUUAUCUUCAAAACCAGUGUUUCACUCUACUGUAUCGACCUACCUUCCACAUUCCUUUGGCACAUUUCAGAAUAUCAUUUCCCCUCCUAAAUUCAUCUGCUUUACCUCUCUUCUCCUCAUCACGUUUGCUGUGGACAACCGACUACCCAACUUGGUGAACCUGAACGAGGACCCACAGCUGUCGGAGAUGCUGUUAUACAUGAUUUAAGGAGGGACAGACCAAGGUCGGCCAGCACAAGUCUGAGUCCCCCCACGACAUCCAGCUGUCUGGGGCCCUUAUCGCCGACCACCACUGUGUCGUUUCCAAUGUAAACGGUGAAGUCGGCAUCACUCCCAUGGAAAACGCCAAGACCUUUGUCAACGGGAACCUGGUCUCUGACACCACUGUCCUGCGUCUUGAGGAGGAGAGCGAGAGGAAGUGUCAUUGGGAGAUGGACCAGCAGCAGGUAGCCUCCAAGAUGGAGGAGCUGCAGUCGGCCAAGGUGGAGCUGGAGGUGGACACGCACAAGACACGUCUCCGCCUCCAUAUGGAGGUCCAGGCCGCACGGCGGGCCAUGGCCGACCACGGUGACCGGCAGGCCAAGGUGGUGGAGGCCCUCGAGGCAGAGAAGUGGAAGGUCGGCAAAGACCUUGAGGAGAUGCAGAAGAAACUGGCGUUGUAAGGAAGCCGGACUACGAGAAACGGUACACCAUUGUUAAGGAUUUUCAUCUUCUGGGUCGUAUUCAUUAGAAAACGAUACACCAUUGUUAGGGAUUUUCAUCUUCUGGGUCGUAUUCAUGAGUAAACGGUCCGAAAUGAGGAGGGACUACCUGAACUUGUCCAAUAAGAAACCGUUGCAACAGCGUGCACUAAUGAAUACCAACCAGGUGUGAGGUAUGAAUCAAAGAUGAGAUGUUAUUACAAUAAUAGGAGAGGCAUAACUUAUUGUGGUAGCAAACAAAUCACAUUUUAUACCUCAAAUGGUUCGGAAACAACAGGUGUGGAAUAGCAGUGGAACUCGACCAGGUCAGUAACAACCUGUCCCGCCCGUGAGGGAACUCGACCAGGUCAGUAACAACCUGGCCCGCCCGUGAGGGAACUCGACCAGGUUAGUAACAACCUGGCCCGCCCGUGAGGGAACUCGACCAGGUUAGUAACAACCUGGCCCGCCCGUGAGGGAACUCGACCAGGUUAGUAACAACCUGGCCCGCCCAUGAGGGAACUCGACCAGGUCAGUAACAACCUGGCCCGCCCGUGAGGGAACUCGACCAGGUCAGUAACAACCUGGCCCGCCCGUGAGGGAACUCGACCAGGUCAGUAACAACCUGGCCCGCCCGUGAGGGAACUCGACCAGGUCAGUAACAACCUGGCCCGCCCGUGAGGGAACUCGACCAGGUCAGUAACAACCUGGCCCGCCCGUGAGGGAACUCGACCAGGUCAGUAACAACCUGGCCCGCCCGUGAGGGAACUCGACCAGGUCAGUAACAACCUGGCCCGCCCGUGAGGGAACUCGACCAGGUUAGUAACAACCUGGCCCGCCCCUGAGGGAACUCGACCAGGUCAGUAACAACCUGGCCCGCCCGUGAGGGAACUCGACCAGGUCAGUGACAACCUGGCCCGCCCGUGAGGGAACUCGACCAGGUCAGUGACAACCUGGCCCGCCCCUGAGGGAACUCGACCAGGUCAGUGACAACCUGGCCCGCCCGUGAGGGAACUCGACCAGGUCAGUGACAACCUGGCCCGCCCCUGAGGAUGGAUCAACAACAUUGGAGUUACUCCACAAUACUAACCUAAUAGACACAGUUCGAAUAAGGAUGCCUGUGCAAAAUAAAAAUAUUACAACAUGCAUCCUUUUUGUAAUAAAGGAACUAAAGUAAAACUGUUAAAAAAAAUGUGGCACAAAUACAUUUUAUGCCCUGAAUACAAAGCUGACUACGCUUCAUAUUUUCAAGCAUGGUGGUGGCUGCAUCAUGUUAUGGGUAUGCUUGUCAUCGAUUUAAGGACUGUGUAGUUUUCUGGAUGAUUUAUUAUUUUAUUUUUGUAUGGAAUAGAGCUAAGAAUAGGCAAAAUCCUAGAGGAUAACCUGGUUGUCUGCUUUCCUACAGACACAAAUUCACCUUUCAGCAAGACAAUUACCUAAAACACAAGGUUAAAUACACACUGUUGUUGCUUACCAGGACAAAAUGGAGUGUUCCCGAGUGGCCUAGUUAGAUUUGACUUACCUCCUUAAACCUAUGGCAAGACUUGAAAAUGUUUGUCUGGCAAUGAUCAACAGUCAACUUGACAGAGCUUCCAUCUGGCCACUCUCCCAUAAAGUCCAGAUUGGUGAAGAGACUGUUGUCCUUCUGGCAGGUUAUCCCGUCUCAGCCAAGGAACUAUCAGAGUGGUCAUUGGGUUCUUGGUCCACCUCCCUGACCAAGGUCUUUGUUGCCUAGUUUGGUCAGACAGCCAGCUCUAGUCAGAGUCUGGGUAGUUCCAUGUUUUUUUCCCAAUGAUGGAGACCACUGUGCUCUCAGAAACUUUCAACACUCUAGAAAUUGUUUCAUAACCUUCCCCCACAUAUUUUCGUCAACACAGUUCUAUCUCUGAGAUCUACGGUCAGUUCCUUGAACUUCAUGGUACAGUUUCUACUCAGACAUCCACUGUGGGACCUUUUUAUAUAGACAAACGGUUAUUUCUAAAUCAUGUCCAAACAAUUGAAUUGGCCACAAGUGGACUCCAAGUUGUAGUGACUUGUCAAGGAUGAUCAAAGGAAAUUGGAUGCACCUGGGCUCAAUUUUGGAGUGAAUACUUAUGUAAAUUAGAUAUUUUCAC
ensembl:lncRNA